GGUUCGCGUAGGCUGUCGUCACCGCCCAAGUUUGUGGGAGUUUAGGCUGUAGUUUCCAUCCUUAGGAAGUUUCCGCGCCACGGAAGUGGAAGUCACAGGCAAAUCGAGCUGUGCGCGGCGGCCUGCCUUGAAGCUGGAGAGUAUUUUAAACACUACGGAGCGUUUUCCCUAACGGAUCAGGCACAUAUACUUGGAAGAAUAAUAAAUCUAAGAAGAAAUUUUAUAAUGAAAAAUUUACAAGAAAGAAAUUUACAAAAUUCCUGAGUCCUGGAAGGAAAGAUUCCAGAGGAAAAACUAAAUAUAAUGAGCAGGAAACAAACAAACAACCCAAACCAACCAACCAAUCAAUGAGAACCAACCAACCAACCAACCAAUGAGAACCAACCAAUGAGAACCAAUCCCGAGGAACAGAGGAAGCACAAGAAGGAUGACAGGAACAUUUUUUACUUUUCUUUCUGCUAUUGAAGGCGAGGCAUUAAAGUUGAAGUGCUAUUCGCGUGGUUUCUAGAAUGUCUGGUUAAUGGAGUCCUGCUCCUUACCACACUGGUUUUAGGCAUGCAUUCGGUUUGCGCUCAAUUAGGUUUGAUGAUGCUAAGUGAGAACCUUGUUCAGGCCGAGCCGGAAGGCGUUAUCUCACUGAGUACACACCUCAUCGAGUUUCAUGACUCUGAUUUAUAUCGAUUGAUUUCCAGGUCUUGGUUUAUUUCUGAUGUGUGUGGGUGUUUUGUCUCUAUGUGCAUCUGUGCACUAUGUGUGUAGCUGGUGCCCUCAUAGGCUAGACGAGGAGGUUGAAUCCCCUAGGACUGUAGUCUCAGACAGUUACGGGCUACCAUGUGUGGCUGAGAAUUUAGCUCAGGUCCUCUGGAAGAACAGCCAGCUCUCCUAGUCACUGAGCCAUCUCUCCAGUCCU
rnacentral:lncRNA from 1 species